rnacentral:rRNA from 1 species
UGGGGAAUAUUGCACAAUGGGCGCAAGCCUGAUGCAGCGACGCCGCGUGAAGGAUGAAGGUUUUCGGAUCGUAAACUUCUAUCAGCAGGGAGGAACCAAAUGACGGUACCUGACUAAGAAGCCCCGGCUAACUACGUGCCAGCAGCCGCGGUAAUACGUAGGGGGCAAGCGUUAUCCGGAUUUACUGGGUGUAAAGGGUGCGUAGGUGGCAAUGUAAGUCAGAUGUGAAACCUUGGGGCUCAACCUCAAGCAUGCAUCUGAAACUGCGUAGCUAGAGUGCAGGAGAGGAAAGCGGAAUUCCGAGUGUAGCGGUGAAAUGCGUAGAUAUUCGGAGGAACACCAGUAGCGAAGGCGGCUUUCUGGACUGUAACUGACACUGAGGCACGAAAGCGUGGGGAGCGAACA